GAUGAACGCUGGCGGUGUGCCUAAUACAUGCCAGUCGAGCGAACAGACGAGGAGCUUACUCCUCUGACGUUAGCGGCGGACGGGUGAGUAACACGUGGAUAACCUACCUAUAAGACUGGGAUAACUUCGGGAAACCGGAGCUAAUACCGGAUAACAUGUUGAACCGCAUGGUUCAACAGUGAAAGACGGUCUUGCUGUCACUUAUAGAUGGAUCCGCGUCGCAUUAGCUAGUUGGUAAGGUAACGGCUUACCAAGGCAACGAUGCGUAGCCGACCUGAGAGGGUGAUCGGCCACACUGGAACUGAGACACGGUCCAGACUCCUACGGGAGGCAGCAGUAGGGAAUCUUCCGCAAUGGGCGAAAGCCCGACGGAGCAACGCCGCGUGAGUGAAGAAGGUCUUCGGAUCGUAAAACUCUGUUAUUAGGGAAGAACAAAUGUGUAAGUAACUAUGCACGUCUUGACGGUACCUAAUCAGAAAGCCACGGCUAACUACGUG
rnacentral:rRNA from 1 species